ACUCGAAAAUUAUCCUACCAAAUACGAAUUCAAUAUAAACUAAAACCCAACAGAAUAUUCAAACCCACAACUAGCAGUAAAGAAAAUAUCAUUCUCUUUGUUUGAAGUCGGCAUUCAACAAAGCAAAGAAAGCCAAAAAAAGGAUGGAUUCAUACGUUAAACUAAAGGUAUGGCGAGAACUCCACAGUGCAUAAUAUUUUACGAACGAAAAACCAACAUUAUAAUUCAUUACUAGUAUUUAAAUAUCCUAAACAAGAAAUCAACACCAUUAGAUGAAGUAAGAUGGAAAGAAUUGAACCUGAAAAUUGAAAUUUUCGAUUGAUGAAGUCGUCUACAAUUACACGGACAAGAACAGAACACAGUUACAAUCGAAACUCCGAUCGACAGAAAUCUCAAACACGAACAAGGACAUAAUCUUGAAUCGACACCCAAAAACUCAAAAACAAAGCCACCUCAAUCAAAAUCCAUCGGAUUCCAAAUGGAAAAUCCAAAACAAAAGCUGUAAUUUGAAAUACAAAUCAGAAUGAUUUGAACCGGAAAUCAAGAUUUAACCAUCCGUUUCCCCUCAUUUUGCCUCGUUUUCUUUUCUUUUUUUUUUUUUUUUGUUGAUAUUUUCCGUCCUUCUUUUGCUUUGUUUCCUUUUUUUCAAAUGCUUUUGUCGAUUUUCUCCUUUCUUUGUGUGCUUUUCUUUUUAUUUUUUGUAGUGUGGGAGUUGUGAUUUUUUAUGGAGGAGAAGGACCAUUCUAUCUUCUCUUUGUUGCGGCUGGUUUUUGUUAAAAUCGAAUAAGAAGCAUCAAUGGCUGCCGCGCUUGAUUCUGUCUAGGUUAGAGAUUUUUUUCAGAGAAGAUCCUCUUUGAAACGGCUGAUUCAAUAUCUUUUGGGAUGUCGGUCUAUGUAGAGAUUAGAUUAGUGAUAUG
rnacentral:lncRNA from 1 species